rnacentral:pre_miRNA from 1 species
AGAGGGAUAGCUGGGUCAAAUGGUGGUUCCAUUCCCAGAUUUCCAAGGAAUCUCCAUAAUGCUUUCCAUAUUGGCUGUACCAAUUUGCAGUCCCAUCAGCAAU